rnacentral:rRNA from 1 species
AUUGAACGCUGGCGGCAUGCCUUACACAUGCAAGUCGAACGGCAGCGGGGGAGAAGCUUGCUUUUCCUGCCGGCGAGUGGCGAACGGGUGAGUAAUACAUCGGAACGUGCCCUGUCGUGGGGGAUAACUAGUCGAAAGAUUAGCUAAUACCGCAUACGACCUGAGGGUGAAAGGGGGGGACCGCAAGGCCUCAUGCUAUAGGAGCGGCCGAUGUCUGAUUAGCUCGUUGGUGGGGUAAAGGCCUACCAAGGCGACGAUCAGUAGCUGGUCUGAGAGGACGAUCAGCCACACUGGGACUGAGACACGGCCCAGACUCCUACGGGAGGCAGCAGUGGGGAAUUUUGGACAAUGGGCGAAAGCCUGAUCCAGCAAUGCCGCGUGUGUGAAGAAGGCCUUCGGGUUGUAAAGCACUUUUGUCCGGAAAGAAAUGGCUCUGGUUAAUACCUGGGGUCGAUGGCGGUACCGGAAGAAUAAGGACCGGCUAACUACGUGCCAGCCGCCGCGGUAA